rnacentral:rRNA from 1 species
GAUGAACGCUGGCGGCGUGCCUAAUACAUGCAAGUCGAGCGAACGGACGAGAAGCUUGCUUUUCUGAUGUUAGCGGCGGACGGGUGAGUAACACGUGGAUAACCUACCUAUAAGACUGGGAUAACUUCGGGAAACCGGAGCUAAUACCGGAUAAUAUUUUGAACCGCAUGGUUCAAAAGUGAAAGACGGUCUUGCUGUCACUUAUAGAUGGAUCCGCGCUGCAUUAGCUAGUUGGUAAGGUAACGGCUUACCAAGGCAACGAUGCAUAGCCGACCUGAGAGGGUGAUCGGCCACACUGGAACUGAGACACGGUCCAGACUCCUACGGGAGGCAGCAGUAGGGAAUCUUCCGCAAUGGGCGAGAGCCUGACGGAGCAACGCCGCGUGAGUGAUGAAGGUCUUCGGAUCGUAAAACUCUGCUAUUAGGGAAGAACAUAUGUGUAAGUAACUGUGCACAUCUUGACGGUACCUAAUCAGAAAGCCACGGCUAACUACGUG